rnacentral:tRNA from 1 species
AGUCUGUUGGUCGUAUUAGACGUUUUGGUUUCGGCCCGAAGAGUAUGAGUUUAUUCAUGUAGAUUA